rnacentral:lncRNA from 13 species
AAACUGUACUGUAAUGUUGAGGAAGCUAACACCUCAGCAUUUCACUGCACCUUGUAUACCUGCUGUAAACUGGUUAUGUGACUACUACAAUUGAUUUUAAUUUUAUUGGAGACCUCACCUGUGU